UCACAAUAGUCAACAAGGAAAGUUACCAGAGCAUGGACAAGUAUCUUAAUACUGACAAAGGGACAAAUUUUGGAAAUGGUGGUCUGAAAAGCGGAGUGUGUGAAAGGGAAGGGAAGAAGAAUUGAAGAGGUCACCAAGAUUGAGCCUGGGUGAUUGAAAGAGUGGUGUUAUUUUAACUGGGUUUUUAUCUGUCACCACUGUUACACAGAAUUCAACUGUUAUCUAGUCCCUAUGAAUGGUCUCAGUUUAGAAAGACAAGAAAGAAAAAACACUUACGAAAAAUGCAAAAAUGCUCAUUAAUACUAUUAGAAUCUAAAGAACCCUCUGACACAUCUGUAGCAAACGCUUUUAAUGUUUACACUCAGUUUCACAAAAAAGUAGUGUACUUCUAACGUUGAGAGGUAAGAAUAAUUAAAAUGUAUUCUGAAGGUUUUGGAAGUAUAUUAGAACCUUCAAUGAAUGCCAGUAUAGCCAAAGGUUAAGUACAAGACCUUGCUUGUCAUUGCUGUAAAAGACAGACAAUAUAUACACGUAACUGAUAAGCUCUCUUUAGUUAGAAGCUUCUGAUGACAUUGGCAAACAAAAAACUGCUUGAAUAGCUUUGAGCUAAUGAUAUAGGAAUAUAUUAUUAUAAUGUACAUUUGUUAUGUAGGUGGAGAAGUCCGAGGAAAGGGAUUGCUCCUUAACACUGCCUGCUUCUGAUCUCCUGAUGAAGCUGCACAAAGCAGACUAUCACCUGUUCAUAAUUAACGGAACUGCAUGCUCCAUGGGUGGAGGUCAAGUCAGGCUAGCUCAAACAGCUCACCAAGCGAUCACUUUCUUUUAAAAAAGCUGCUAAAGCAUGAAGUGCAAGAUUAUGAACAAACAGGAAAAUGAAGAUGAAGACGACUGAGUUAGCUACAGAAGCCAAUAUUUUAAGUUUCUCAUGUUGACCUGGCUGAAAUAGUCAAUUUAAUUUUUCUUUUUUAAAUAUUUCAUUUAACUAUUUUAGUUAAACAAUUUUAACAAAAACAAACCUGAUUUUAAAAACUUGAAUACUUAACUAAAUUCAAAAAUUCAUAUGCUUGUUUUGUUAAAAUAUUAUAUGUUUGCUGUUGAAGAAAAAAAUCCAGAAUACAUAACAUUGUUGUUUUAGUUAAAUAAAACAAUUUAAAUGUCUGUCUGGUGAUGUUCCCCUCCUAAUGCAGCAUGGCAAGAAAAUCCUCCAAAUAUUAAUGAUUAACCUGUUGAACUGGAGAUAGUUCACCUCCCAAUGACUUCAUAAAUAUCUGCUUCAAUUACCUUUGGUAAAUGAAAUAACCAAACAAUCAUUAUUUUCUGAUAUAGCUGUAAAACUAAUCUGAAAAGUUUUCAAAAUAAAUCACUUUAAAAAUGUAUAAUGUGUACUUUUUAAAAAUGAA